GGCGAUCAGAUACCGCCCUAGUUCUAACCGUAAACUAUGCCAACUAGCGAUCCGUCGGUGUUAAAUAUUGACUCGACGGGCAGCUUCCGGGAAACCAAAGUUUAUAGGUUCCGGGGGAAGUAUGGUUGCAAAGCUUAAACUUAAAGGAAUUGACGGAAGGGCACCACCAGGAGUGGAGCCUGCGGCUUAAUUUGACUCAACACGGGGAAACUCACCCGGCCAGGACACAAUAAGGAUUGACAGAUUGAUAGCUCUUUCUUGAUUUUGUGGGUGGUGGUGCAUGGCCGUUCUUAGUUGGUGGAGCGAUUUGUCUGGUUAAUUCCGAUAACGAACGAGACUCUAGCCUAUUAAAUAGACGAUAUAUCUUAUUAGUAUAUCGAGCUUCUUAGAGGGACGAGCAGCUUCUAGCUGCACGAGAUUGAGCAAUAACAGGUCUGUGAUGCCCUUAGAUGUCCGGGGCUGCACGCGCGCUACAAUGAAAAUAGCAGCGCGUUUCGAAAACCUUUUCUGGAAAGUAUUGGUAAACGCGAAAUAUUUUCGUGAUUGGGAUAGGGGAUUGCAAUUAUUGCCCUUGAACGAGGAAUUCCCAGUAAAUUCGAGUCAUCAGCUCGAGUUGAUUACGUCCCUGCCCUUUGUA
rnacentral:rRNA from 2 species